UUUUAUUUUGAUUUUUCUGUGAUUAAACUCUAGUACUCAGGGCAGUAGUUGUUGAGAUGUAAAAUCUGUUGUCUAUCUGCCUAAAUAUAUGACAAAAGGCUGAAGUACAUAUUGGAGAUACUCUCACAUGCACAUUCAUUCGUUUGAAACACGAUAUCUAGUUAUUUGUCUUUGAACUGAGUUGGAUUUUUCCAUGCUUAUGUAGGAACACAUGUCCUAUGCCCUAUUUUCGUUUAAGGACCGCCAAGGAAAUUCUGAAACUGAAAGCUGAUUGAUCGUAUGUGUAUGCCAGCUUUCAUCAACUACUUUCGAAGGCCUUACUAGGAAUUGAAAUGGUGUGCAAAGAGAUUGCUUCUUCUGAUAUGAUUUUUCGAUAUAAAUACUGGACAAAGUAUGGAUAUUUUACUGCUGUUAGUAAAAUAGGAUUCUCUUCUUAGGAUCUUAGUUUCUUCACUUGUAUUAGACUUAACAAUGGCUUGCAUUGCAUUGGUGUUGAUUUUACCAAAAUUUCGAGGUUUGCAAUUUUUAAUUUUUAUUAAUUAUUUACGUUUUCUCACUUUUAUUAAUUAUUAUUAUUUAAACUUCCUUUAUUUGC
rnacentral:lncRNA from 1 species